UGGUAGAACACUUGUGAAGUCCAG
rnacentral:piRNA from 1 species